rnacentral:tRNA from 1 species
GGCGUGUUCGUCUAGCUGGCCCAGGACGCUGCCCUCUCAAGGCGGAGAUCACGGGUUCGAAUCCCGUACACGCUA